rnacentral:rRNA from 1 species
UACGUAGGGGGCAAGCGUUAUCCGGAUUUACUGGGUGUAAAGGGUGCGUAGACGGUGUGACAAGUCUGAAGUGAAAUGCAUGGGCUCAACUCGUGAACUGCUUUGGAAACUGCCAUACUGGAGUACAGGAGGGGUAAGCGGAAUUCCUGGUGUAGCGGUGAAAUGCUUAGAUAUCAGGAGGAACACCGGCGGCGAAGGCGGCUUACUGGACUGUAACUGACGUUGAGGCACGAAAGCGUGGGGAGCAAAC